rnacentral:misc_RNA from 1 species
UCUCCGUAGGUGAACCUGCGGAGGGAUCAUUACAGAGUUCAUGCCCUACCGGGUAGAUCUCCCACCCUAUGUUAUUAUUACUUUGUUUCUUUGGCGGGCCGUUAGGCUCCGGCCCGACUACCGGCCCCGGCUGGUAAGCGCCCGCCAGAGGACCCAAAACCCUGAAUAUUAGUGUCGUCUGAGUAAUAUAUAAUAGUUAAAACUUUCAACAACGGAUCUCUUGGUUCUG